GGAGAGAUGGAGUGACACAGUAGGAUAAGCUAACCGUACUGUUGGUUAUGUACGGCUAAGCAUUGAGGCAGUCUAAAUAGGCAAAUCCGUUUAGACAAUGCUAGGAUGUGAUGGGGAAGCCCUUCGGGGCGAAGUAGCUGAUUUCACACUGUCAAGAAAAGCUUCUAUCGAGUUUAAAGGCGCCCGUACCGUAAACCGACACAGGUGGGUGAGGAGAGUAUCCUAAGGCCAGCGAGAGAACUAUUGUUAAGGAACUCGGCAAAAUGACCCCGUAACUUAGGGAGAAGGGGUGCCUGUCUAUGACAGGCCGCAGAGAAUAGGCCCAAGCGACUGUUUACCAAAAACACAGGUUUCUGCUAAGUCGCAAGACGAUGUAUAGGAGCUGACGCCUGCCCGGUGCUGGAAGGUUAAGGGGAUCUGUUAGAGCAAUCGAAGCAGUGAACUUAAGCCCCAGUAAACGGCGGCCGUAACGAUAACGGUCCUAAGGUAGCGAAAUUCCUUGUCGGGUAAGUUCCGACCCGCACGAAAGGCGUAACGAUUUGGGCACUGUCUCAACAAUAGACUCGGUGAAAUUGUAAUCCCGGUGAAGAUGCCGGGUACCUGCGACAGGACGGAAAGACCCCAUGGAGCUUUACUGUAGCUUGAUGUUGGGUCUUGGUACUACAUGUACAGGAUAGGUGGGAGACUAUGAAGCAUGGACGCCAGUCUGUGUGGAGUCAUCCUUGGGAUACCACCCUUGUAGUACUGGGAUCCUAACCAUAGGCCUUGAAUCAGGUCUUGGAACACCGUCAGGUGGGCAGUUUGACUGGGGCGGUCGCCUCCUAAAAAGUAACGGAGGCGCUCAAAGGUUUCCUCAGCACGGUCGGAAAUCGUGCGAAGAGUGUAAAGGCAAAAGGAAGCUUGAUUGCAAGACAUACAGGUCGAGCAAGGACGAAAGUCGGACUUAGUGAUCCGGUGGUACCGCAUGGAAGGGCCAUCGCUCAACGGAUAAAAGCUACCCUGGGGAUAACAGGCUUAUCUCCCCCAAGAGUCCACAUCGACGGGGAGGUUUGGCACCUCGAUGUCGGCUCAUCACAUCCUGGGGCUGUAGUAGGUCCCAAGGGUUGGGCUGUUCGCCCAUUAAAGUGGUACGCGAGCUGGGUUCAGAACGUCGUGAGACAGUUCGGUCCCUAUCCGUCGCAGGCGUAGGAAAUUUGAGAAGACCUGUCCUUAGUACGAGAGGACCGGGAUGGACGUACCUCUGGUGUACCAGUUGUUCUGCCAAGGGCAUGGCUGGGUAGCUAUGUACGGAAUGGAUAAGCGCUGAAAGCAUCUAAGCGCGAAGCCAACUUCAAGAUAAGAUUUCCCACCGUAAGGGUAAGACCCCAGGAAGACUACCUGGUUGAUAGGUCGAAGGUGUAAGUGCAGUAAUGUAUUUAGCUUAUCGAUACUAAUAGGUCGAGGACUUGACC
rnacentral:rRNA from 1 species